CGGGGGGGGCAAGCGUUGUUCGGAAUUACUGGGCGUAAAGGGCUCGUAGGCGGCCAACUAAGUCAGACGUGAAAUCCCCAGGCUCAACCUGGGAACUGCGUCUGAUACUGGUUGGCUUGAAUUCGGGAGAGGGAUGCGGAAUUCCAGGUGUAGCGGUGAAAUGCGUAGAUAUCUGGAGGAAUACCGGUGGCGAAGGCGGCAUCCUGGACCGACAUUGACGCUGAGGAGCGAAAGCUAGGGGAGCAAACGGGAUUAGAUACCCCGGUAGUCCUAGCCCUAAACGAUGAAUGCUUGGUGUGACGGGUAUCGAUCCCUGUCGUGCCGAAGCUAACGCAUUAAGCAUCCCGCCUGGGGAGUGCGGUCGCAAGGCUG
rnacentral:rRNA from 1 species